CAAGGACAAGUCUAAUGACAAAUGGAAGGCAAAGAGGUCCCAAAGAGUGAUAUGCUCUGAUGCAGUGAGGACUCUGAGGCUCCAUGCUGAAUCAAAGCAAUGAAGCCAGAGGCAGUCCUCUCCCUGCUGGGAAUGCCAGCUACAUGUUGAAGCAGAUUCUGCUCGUGCUCCCUAAUACCUGGAUUAUGCAUUUCUAAUAGUGUGCUUGACUGCAUUUUCUAGGUCUUUUGCUUCUAAGUGGGGUCAAGUGGCUGUUGCUUAUCAAUUGAAUGAGAGCAGAGGAAAUAUGUAUCACUUCCCGGUUGAGAUGGUUAAGGAUGUGUCCUGAAAU
rnacentral:lncRNA from 1 species